rnacentral:rRNA from 1 species
AGAGUUUGAUCCUGGCUCAGGAUGAACGCUAGCUACAGGCUUAACACAUGCAAGUCGAGGGGCAUCAGUUUGGUUUGCUUGCAAACCAAAGCUGGCGACCGGCGCACGGGUGAGUAACACGUAUCCAACCUGCCUCAUACUCGGGGAUAGCCUUUCGAAAGAAAGAUUAAUAUCCGAUAGCAUAUAUUUCCCGCAUGGGUUUUAUAUUAAAGAAAUUCGGUAUGAGAUGGGGAUGCGUUCCAUUAGUUUGUUGGGGGGGUAACGGCCCACCAAGACUACGAUGGAUAGGGGUUCUGAGAGGAAGGUCCCCCACAUUGGAACUGAGACACGGUCCAAACUCCUACGGGAGGCAGCAGUGAGGAAUAUUGGUCAAUGGACGCGAGUCUGAACCAGCCAAGUAGCGUGAAGGAUGACUGCCCUAUGGGUUGUAAACUUCUUUUAUAUGGGAAUAAAGUGGUCCACGUGUGGACUUUUGUAUGUACCAUAUGAAUAAGGAUCGGCUAACUCCGUGCCAGCAGCCGCGGUAAUACGGAGGAUCCGAGCGUUAUCCGGAUUUAUUGGGUUUAAAGGGAGCGUAGGCGGAUUGUUAAGUCAGUUGUGAAAGUUUGCGGCUCAACCGUAAAAUUGCAGUUGAUACUGGCAGUCUUGAGUGCAGUAGAGGUGGGCGGAAUUCGUGGUGUAGCGGUGAAAUGCUUAGAUAUCACGAAGAACUCCGAUUGCGAAGGCAGCUCACUGGAGUGUAACUGACGCUGAUGCUCGAAAGUGUGGGUAUCAAACAGGAUUAGAUACCCUGGUAGUCCACACAGUAAACGAUGAAUACUCGCUGUUUGCGAUAUACAGUAAGCGGCCAAGCGAAAG